rnacentral:snRNA from 1 species
GUGCUCACUUCAGCAGCACAUAGACUAAAAUUGGAAUGAUACAGAGAAGAUUAGCAUGGCUCCUGUGCAAGGAUGACAUACAAAUUCGUGAAGCAUUACAUAUUUUU